rnacentral:lncRNA from 12 species
CCCUUUCUAAGGGUACUCUUUCUUUUCCGGUAAAGUGUCCUAAGUAAUCUCUGGUGCUGUCCUGGCAACUCAGGUCAUUAAACAAAGCAAACUGCUGUGCACUGUGCUCUGUGUUUGAACCCACCAUUACAUUCCACUGAAAGGACACAUUUCUCGUUUGGGGCAGAAGAAAUAAAGCCA